rnacentral:rRNA from 1 species
GACGAACGCUGGCGGCGUGCUUAACACAUGCAAGUCGAACGGAAAGGCCGUGCUUUUGUGCGGUGCUGGGGGGGCGAAGGGGUGAGGAACACGUGAGUACCCUACCCUGGACUUUGGGAUAACUUAAGGAAACUGGGGCUAAUACCGGAUAGGAGCUCCUGCUGCAGGGUGGGCGUUGGAAAGUUUCGGCGGUUGGGGAUGGACUCGCGGCUUAUCGGCUUGUUGGUGGGGUAGUGGCUUACCAAGGCAUGGACCGGUAGCCGGCCUGGGCGGGUGGCCGGCCACGUCACGCCUGGGAUACGGCCCAGCCCCGAAUGGUAGGCAACGGUGGGGAGUAGUAUACAGUGGGCGGGAGGCUGGUGCGGCAACGCCGCGUGGGGGAUGACGUCCUUCGGGUAGUGAACCGCUUCCGCUUGUGACGAAGCGUUAGUGACGGUAAUGGAUGAAGAAGCACCGGCUAACUACGUG